rnacentral:lncRNA from 1 species
UUUCAAGAAUGAAAAAGUGAGAGGAAGCUUCAAUGUCAUAUGUUUUGGGAAUGCAUCCAGAAAUACCAAUCACAAGGAAUAUUCCAAAGAGUUUUACAGUGAACAUAUCAUAGAUGAGUGAUUAUCACAUCGAUUUCAUAAUGAGCAUCAAGAGGAUGACCAUCAUGAUGUACCAUAGACUGCAUUAGGACCCCCAUAUCCACAGGAUCAGUAUCUGCUGAUUCACUUAUCCACUGCUUGAAAAUAUUAAAUAAAAAACU